rnacentral:snoRNA from 1 species
CUGGAUGAUGAACAAAAAUAUCAAAAGCAUAGUUCACCUGAAAUCUUCGGAUUCUUGAACGAAAAUAUAUUCCAUCUUUCAAUUUUUCUGAUC